UGGGGAAUAUUGGGCAAUGGGCGAAAGCCUGACCCAGCAACGCCGCGUGAGGGAAGAAGGCCUUCGGGUUGUAAACCUCUAUCCUUGGGGACGAAAGAAAUGACGGUACCCAAGAAGGAAGCUCCGGCUAACUACGUGCCAGCAGCCGCGGUAAUACGUAGGGAGCAAGCGUUGUCCGGAAUUACUGGGCGUAAAGGGUGCGUAGGUGGUCUUGCAAGUCAGAUGUGAAAUACCGGGGCUUAACUUCGGGGCUGCAUUUGAAACUGCAGGACUUGAGUGCAGGAGAGGUAAGUGGAAUUCCUAGUGUAGCGGUGAAAUGCGUAGAUAUUAGGAAGAACACCGGUGGCGAAGGCGGCUUACUGGACUGCAACUGACACUGAGGCACGAAAGCGUGGGGAGCAAACAGG
rnacentral:rRNA from 1 species